AAAUGCAUAGAUAUCACGCAGAACCCCGAUUGCGAAGGCAGCCUGCCAAGCCAUUACUGACGCUGAUGCACGAAAGCGUGGGGAUCAAACAGGAUUAGAUACCCUGGUAGUCCACGCAGUAAACGAUGAUCACUAGCUGUUUGCGAUACACUGUAAGCGGCACAGCGAAAGCGUUAAGUGAUCCACCUGGGGAGUACGCCGGCAACGGUGAAACUCAAAGGAAUUGACGGGGGCCCGCACAAGCGGAGGAACAUGUGGUUUAAUUCGAUGAUACGCGAGGAACCUUACCCGGGUUUGAACGCAUUCGGACCGAGGUGGAAACACCUUUUCUAGCAAUAGCCGUUUGCGAGGUGCUGCAUGGUUGUCGUCAGCUCGUGCCGUGAGGUGUCGGCUUAAGUGCCAUAACGAGCGCAACCCUUGCCACUAGUUACUAACAGGUAAAGCUGAGGACUCUGGUGGGACUGCCAGCGUAAGCUGCGAGGAAGGCGGGGAUGACGUCAAAUCAGCACGGCCCUUACAUCCGGGGCGACACACGUGUUACAAUGGCGUGGACAAAGGGAAGCCACCUGGCGACAGGGAGCGAAUCCCCAAACCACGUCUCAGUUCGGAUCGGAGUCUGCAACCCGACUCCGUGAAGCUGGAUUCGCUAGUAAUCGCGCAUCAGCCAUGGCGCGGUGAAUACGUUCCCGGGCCUUGUACACACCGCCCGUCAAGCCAUGGGAGCCGGGGGUACCUGAAGUCCGUAACCGCGAGGAUCGGCCUAGGGUAAAACUG
rnacentral:rRNA from 1 species